rnacentral:tRNA from 1 species
GCCUGGCCGGCUCAGUCGGUGGAGCAUGAGACUCUUGGUCUCAGGGUUGUGAGUUCAAGCCCCACGCUGGGUG